GGCGGCUGGAAGGGAGGCUAGCGCCGGCAAACCCUAGCUGGGUUCUCGCGUUCCGGGAACUUUUUCCCCCUCCUGUCCCGCCCCCUUCCCUGUCCCUGUCCCACCUUCCGGCCCCUGGGACCCCCGGCAACGGUUGUGGCUGCUGACCCGCUUCAGCCGGAGUGUUGCUGAGCGCGGAGCCCGAGGGCGCCCGUGAGAGCCCCUGUUGAGUUCCCUGCUGCGUAGGAUGCCAGAACUGGAGACUCUGGAGAUCAUGAAGUUGGUGAAUUGCCCCGAGACCUUCACCCCGGACAUGAGGUGCAUCAUGGGCGAGUCCCCUUCAGUGCGGGGCUACUUCGUCCUGGCAGGAAUGAUCUCUGCUGGCCUUUCGUCUGGUGGAGGAGCUGGAAGGUUCAAAAUGAUUCUUCGAUUGCAUAUGCUGAGAAGAUUGUGGAGCCCCUCUCCCAAUACAGCAGAAGUGGUGAUAACAGAUCAUUUCAGAGAGAAGAAAAAAGUACCAACCACCUAAAACAAGAGUCCAGCUACUCCUUGAACAAUCCCUCCAAUCUCCAGGGAGAGAAGAUGUGGAGAGAUGUCUGGAAAGAGAAGACGGAAAGCAGACCUUGGACUCAGGUAACAUAUGCUCUCCACACUGGGAACUCUCAAGGGACCCAAGUGGGUCAUCUCUGUG